UGGGGGAUAUUGCGCAAUGGGGGGAACCCUGACGCAGCAACGCCGCGUGAAGGAAGAAGGUCUUCGGAUUGUAAACUUUUGUCUUCGGGGACGAAUAAAUGACGGUACCCGAGGAGGAAGCUCCGGCUAACUACGUGCCAGCAGCCGCGGUAAUACGUAGGGAGCGAGCGUUGUCCGGAAUUACUGGGUGUAAAGGGCGUGUAGGCGGGUUGGCAAGUCAGAUGUGAAAUUCCCAGGCUUAACUUGGGCGCUGCAUUUGAAACUGCCGGUCUUGAGUGGUGGAGAGGAAAGCGGAGUUCCUAGUGUAGCGGUGAAAUGCGUAGAUAUUAGGAGGAACACCAGUGGCGAAGGCGGCUUUCUGGACACUAACUGACGCUGAGGCGCGAAAGCGUGGGGAGCAAACAG
rnacentral:rRNA from 1 species